UCAGUGGCCACCCUGAGAUCUGGCUACACGGCCUUGCCAGGUCUCUACGGAAAGUUAUUUAGGGCCUUUGUGUGCAGGGGAACCUGAGAAAACUGAGUGCAGUCUGAAGCCUGAAGUGUGACAGGCCCUGCUCUCCUUUGUCUGAUGGAAGACCCUAAAAAUAAUACAGAGGCAACAAGUGUUAACUCAGGCAUUAGUUGUCUUUCCUGGAACAGAUAACAUCCCUUUUAACGCCAAGAGAAAGCUUGGGAGGAAGACAUACUCUACCAUACAGUCCUUUCCUCUUUUCGUGGAUGGCAAAAUGAUACAUCACUUCCCGAAGCUUGUGUUAGAAGAUGCCCCUUCACUGGUGUGAGAUGCUUAAAAGGACAAUGAUUUGUGCAGGGAACUAACCCCUUGUGCUACGUAUCCUUUUGCUCUAUUUUACUGAUAUGACAAUUGGAGCAGGAUAGUUUAUGUGGCAAAUUUUCCUAGCAUUUAUAUGCACUGCUUACUACAUUCACAUUUUAGUUUACAAAUCUUGACAAAGACAACCGAAUAGGAGUUUUACAUGAAUGUGCUUAUUUUGUAUUGAAGUAUGACACAUAUGCAGAGAAGUGACAUUGUCGUAAGCAAAUGGCUUGAUGGCUUUUACAAACUGAACAUAUAUGUAACCAACAUUGAGAUCUAGAAACAGCUCUUUUUCAGCCCCUUCUUCCUGAAACUCUCCUCUUCUUCCGCCUUGACCAAGUAUAAUCUCUCUCCUGACUUCUAGCAGAAUAGGUUAGUUUUGCUUAAUUUUAUUUUUAUACGAGGUGAAUCUCUAGUGUCUGGCUUCUUUUUCUGAAAGCUGUGUUUAUGGGAUUCAUCAAUAUCAUUGUAUGUGGUUAUAGAUUCCCAUUGCUG
rnacentral:lncRNA from 1 species